rnacentral:rRNA from 1 species
CAGUCGUACCUUCGGGUAAUCAGCCUUUCGAGUGCGAUUCUGUGGAGUGUGAGGAGCUAAUCACCCUCAUGGUUUGCAUAUUCGUGCUCUUGGGUGUAUUUGCCCGUGUGGUAGGUUAACAUCAAUUUCGGACGUCAUAAAAUGAUUGGAGGAAUGUAGCUUUGAUCUCGUAUCGAAGUGUUAUAGCCCUCGGUAGAUGUGGUGAUCGAGAUUGAGGAUUGCAACGGAUACCCUUCGGGGCUACCUGUCUGGUCUCUG